rnacentral:rRNA from 1 species
CCUACGGGAGGCAGCAGUGGGGAAUAUUGCGCAAUGGGCGAAAGCCUGACGCAGCGACGCCGCGUGAGGGAUGAAGGUCUUCGGAUCGUAAACCUCUGUCAGCAGGGAAGAACGGUCACUGUGCUAAUCAGCAGUGAAUUGACGGUACCUGCAAAGGAAGCACCGGCUAACUCCGUGCCAGCCGCCGCGGUAAUACGGAGGGUGCGAGCGUUAAUCGGAAUUACUGGGCGUAAAGCGCUCGUAGGCGGUAUGUCAAGUCAAGGGUGAAAUCCCCGCGCUCAACGUGGGAACUGCCUGUGAAACUGGCAAACUGGAGUGUGUGAGAGGAUAGUGGAAUUCCAGGUGUAGGAGUGAAAUCCGGAGAUAUCUGGAGGAACAUCAGUGGCGAAGGCGACUAUCUGGCACAUAACUGACGCUGAGGAGCGAAAGCGUGGGUAGCAAACAGGAUUAGAUACUCGAGUAGUC